GCCAAUAUAGGUUAAAUGGUAAACCGUCCCUCUUCCAAAGGGAAGUAAUGUGUUCAAAUCACAUUAUUGGUA
rfam:Zancudomyces culisetae strain COL-18-3 mitochondrion, complete sequence, whole genome shotgun sequence.